AGAGUUGCCAAAACAGGCAAAACACUGUCACACAGCAUUUUAUGUCUCAGCUCUAGGAGAACCACCUCCAAAACCACUCCAGGGAGAAACUCAACCACUGAAGCUGUAAAGGUGCCAUUCCCAAGAUACACCACACUUAAAGAGUUAUUUCACAAAGACCAGUCACCAAAACUCAACAGCCAUCAACUCUGAGAAGGCCUCACAGCUGGAAGAAGAGGAAGGGGUGGUCAAUGUGAAGGCACAGAGACAUCCUACAGAAAAGCAAGGGGCACUGAGGCCUCCAGCAGCUUGCAAGACACAAUAUAUCCUUGGACAGAGAAUACCAAUGCAAACUGCUACAAGCCAAUUUUUAUGUGAAGUGCAUUGGUUCUGAACAAAUAAAACACUUCACAGAUGCUUUCAGUAUGAAGCACUGACCACACAGAGCCAUUACCACAGCAGCCUGGUGGCCAGGUACUUGUGGCUGCUGCAGGGGCACCUCAAUUAGGCCACGAAAGCGAGAGCAUUAUAUGAAUCCUUGCAGAGAGCAAGGCCUGGAUUUUGACAAAAAAAACCAGACUUGAAUUCACUGCCACAGUGACAAUUUGCCUGGGCAAUUUCACUCCAUUUCCCCCUCCACCCCCAGAGGGCCUGUGUACAACCAGCCAUUCUCUGAGCCAGCAGCAGCUCUCCUGAGUGAUGCUCCUGCCACAUGCUGAGCCACUGCUCUCGGAGAUGCCACCAGCCUACUCCAGAGAGCAGCAGAAACUGGCUCUAAGGAGAAAUCUGUGUGAGUUAAAAGUGCCACACCACUGUCUGGACAAAACCAUGUCCAAUUUGACCCUGUUGGCAAAAUACAGCAUCUGGACCAUCACUGACCUGGUACAAAAGUAUUUUACUUGUUCCUGAAGUCACGAAGCAUCAAACACAAGCUCCAGUAUAUGCAUCAAUUUAUGCUGAUAUUUAUGGAGGAAAAGUACAGAUUUGGGAAAAAAAAGGGACGUUCAGGUAUACUUUUCAGCCUUUUUACAGUAUGACUUUAAAAAAGAAAAAUGUCUUUUUUUCCUUGUUUUUUUUAUCUUUUUUUCCCCUCUGUAAACAAUCCUCUUACAUUCCAGACAGGUAAUUGUAUGGGAAAGUAAAUGUUAGUUCUUUAAAAGAAAGGGCUUAUGUUUCUUCAGAAGCUGAGGCAAAGCUGCCUGAACCAUGGAAGAGCAGGCACUUAGGUUUGCAUUUAAUGGCUCCUAGCUGGAGUUACCACGAGUCCUGGAGCUAAAUAUUGUGGUGAAUUUCUCUUGUCUGGAACAAACACUGUGAGUUCUACUUUGAAAACACGGCAUCCUGAUACAACCCCUGCUUCUCCCUUGAAGAUGUCCACUGUAAAAUGCAAUAGUACUGCUCUACUCCUUGCAGGCCCACAUGUAACCUCCCUCAGCCUCAACACCUGGGACAAGGCAGACCUAACACUGCUCCUCUAAUUUCUGCCACAGAGACAAAGGGCAAAAUUAACAUCUCUCCAUAGAAACAAACACUUUUAAAAGUCAGAAGCCAUUUACUCAGAGUAUUGCUAUCCCUUAGCUUGCCAUAGACUUACUCCCUUGAGCUGAUAUCCAACACAGGCUGCUACAGCAAUAUCUUUUCACAAAUGCAACCUGCACAACAUCUUAUGGAAAAUGUCUUGUGGGGAUCUCAAAGUUCCAGUAAACAUGUCUAAAAUCUCUCCCCUUAGCAGUGGGUACUGAAGCCUGUUGAAGUCCACCUGGAGUUUUUGGCUGCAGCCCUGUCAAGUGAAAUACCUGUUGUUAGUGGACAAAAGGCACCGGCUGACAUCUGCAGCCAUGCUUGGCCUGCACUGACUGAUGCUUCUCUGCUGCUGACAUGCCAACUUUCUACAGGUUGUGAACUGUA